UACGUAGGGGGCAAGCGUUGUCCGGAUUUAUUGGGCGUAAAGAGCGUGUAGGCGGUUUUACAAGUCCGCUGUGAAACUCGAGGCUCAACCUCGAGCUGUCGGUGGAAACUGUAAGGCUAGAGUCCGGAAGAGGAGAGUGGAAUUCCUGGUGUAGCGGUGAAAUGCGCAGAUAUCAGGAAGAACACCCGUGGCGAAGGCGGUUCUCUGGGACGGUACUGACGCUGAGACGCGAAAGCGUGGGGAGCGAACAGG
rnacentral:rRNA from 1 species